GGGGAUAACUACUGGAAACGGUAGCUAAUACCGCAUAACGUCGCAAGACCAAAGAGGGGGACCUUCGGGCCUCUUGCCAUCGGAUGUGCCCAGAUGGGAUUAGCUUGUUGGUGGGGUAACGGCUCACCUAGGCGACGAUCCCUAGCUGGUCUGAGAGGAUGACCAGCCACACUGGAACUGAGACACGGUCCAGACUCCUACGGGAGGCAGCAGUGGGGAAUAUUGCACAAUGGGCGCAAGCCUGAUGCAGCCAUGCCGCGUGUAUGAAGAAGGCCUUCGGGUUGUAAAGUACUUUCAGCGGGGAGGAAGGGAGUAAAGUUAAUACCUUUGCUCAUUGACGUUACCCGCAGAAGAAGCACCGGCUAACUCCGUGCCAGCAGCCGCGGUAAUACGGAGGGUGCAAGCGUUAAUCGGAAUUACUGGGCGUAAAGCGCACGCAGGCGGUUUGUUAAGUCA
rnacentral:rRNA from 1 species